GGACGAACGCUGGCGGCGUGCUUAACACAUGCAAGUCGAACGGAAAGGCCCCUUUGGGGGUACUCGAGUGGCGAACGGGUGAGUAACACGUGAGUAACCUGCCCUUGACUUCGGGAUAACUUCAGGAAACUGGGGCUAAUACCGGAUAGGAAUCCUUGCUGCAUGGUGGGGGUUGGAAAGCUUCGGCGGUUUUGGAUGGACUCGCGGCUUAUCAGCUUGUUGGUGGGGUAGUGGCUUACCAAGGCUUUGACGGGUAGCCGGCCUGAGAGGGCGACCGGCCACAUUGGGACUGAGAUACGGCCCAGACUCCUACGGGAGGCAGCAGUGGGGAAUAUUGCACAAUGGGCGGAAGCCUGAUGCAGCAACGCCGUGUGCGGGAUGACGGCCUUCGGGUUGUAAACCGCUUUCAGCAGGGGCGAAGCUUGUGGUGACGGUACCUGCAGAAGAAGCACCGGCGAACUACGU
rnacentral:rRNA from 1 species